rnacentral:lncRNA from 10 species
AAAGAGAAAGGCUAAUAUUUUCUUCCUACCCACACUGUAAUGACUUACCUUUGUAGUCUCAGUUUGUGGGUACUCACUUUGUAGUCUCAGUUUGUGGGUACCCACUUUGGAGGACACCAAAUAAGGAAUAUCGACAGACCUACCAACGGUUGAAGAAAACUUCUGAUGUGACAGAAGCAAACAGGACUUCACCCUCAAAGACAUUUUCUGGAAAAGCGUGGACUGCUGCUACCCUGGAUGGAGACUCCUUCUAGGGGAGUGUCUGAAUAGCAUUCGUCUGCCUCUAAUUAUUCUGGGUCACCAUGUCAGAAUGGCUAUUGCUGACUCCUGGAAUGCUGUUUGGAAAAGACUACGGAGAGAGUGAUUCUUCAUCAGUGAUUAAGCAUCUUUUCAUGAUUAAUGCAGAGCUGUGAGAAGACAGAAGCAGUGGAAUGACACCACAACAUCUGUGCAUUGAGAAGGGCACUCUGCUGCGGCAUGGCAGUCAAGGCUCAAUUGGAAUAAUCUGGAGAAGCUUUUCUACAAUGUCUACACUCCAGGGCCCACACCUGCCAAUGAAAUCUGUACCUUAAACCUGAAGAGGACCAGGUAUCAAUAUUCUUUGAAAAGCAGCCCAGAUGAUGCAGCUAGGUAGGUGUGGGAUUAACAGCACAGCCGGGAAGUUUCAAAUUGGAAGCACUUCAGAAACUGUCAUAUGCGAGAAAGAUGGUAUCUCAUUCAGACCGACCACCAUUUCCCAAAGAUUUCUCCCAGAUCACUACUUCCUCAAGAUGCCCAGAGAACAUAAUUCUGUGACCAAAUGCGUAUGAGAAAUGCUGCCAACUGCUGACUCCUAUCUUUGAGACUUAUCUACGUAGUGCUUUUAGUGCUUUUUUGUUAUGACCUUGGCUCACUGCAGCUUCACCCUCCUGGGCUCAAGCGAUCCUUCCACCUCAGCCCUUCAAGUAUCUGGGACUACAGACACCUGCCACCAUGUCUAGCUAAUUUUUGUAUUGUUUGUAGAGAUGGAGUUUCACCAUGUUGCCCAGGCUGGUCCUGGUCUGAAACUCCUGAACUCGAGUGAUUCUCCAGCCUCAGCCUCCCAAAGUGCUGAGAUGACAGGUGUGAGCCACUGUGUCUGGUCUGUAGUGCAUCUUAAUGUCUCUGAGAAAACCUGUGACCAAGAAAACUAUUACCUCGGCUUAAUCCAGUAAUUUUCCAGGAAAGCUGCUUUUUUAUUUCAUAGCACCUAACACCCUGUGGACCUCCAGAAAUGGUGAUUCACGAUGAGGAGGAAGAGUACUGAGCCCUGUCAAGGGCAGCAUUGGGUGAGGAGCCUCUCAAUUACAUGUUAGGAAGUGAAGACACCCAGACCUCGGAUUCCAAUUUUGAUGCUUCAGUUUUAAAAUGGUGGGGGGUGAGGGGCUGAUGGAGAAGAGUCUUUAUGGACACAAAUGGACCAGGGUGCUUUGACCUUUUGUUCUGUGGUCUCCUCACUUAUUAGGUCACAUAACCUUCAGUGGGCUACAUAAACCUCUUUUCUCAUCUUUAGCAGAACAAAAAUCUGUGGUCUGGGCUUAGGGGCCAGUUGGACUGGGCUUUGGUCAUUGAUUCGCGCUGGUCUUUGAAAUGUGAGUGGAAGGGACAGACAGGUGUUGAGUCCAAGCAGAAGCCUUCGAUGUUCUUGUGUGGCUUGGCUCUGCCUCUGUGCUUCUCCCUCCUCCUUGAGAACAAUAUGCCCCACAUGGGAGCUGCUCCUUUAGCCAGGCCUCCAGGACCAGAGGACAAAUGGGGCUGAGCACAACCAAGCCCAGCUGAGCCAGGUCAGGGUUCAAUGUAGCCUGAACAUGAAAUAAAUGUUUAUAAUUUUAAACCAGGAAAAUUUUGGUAUAGUUUAUUAUAACAAACUGCAAUCUAUAAACCUGAUUUGGGUCUGAUUUAAAGAAACCAAACAACCUCUAAAAAUUAGGAGGUAAACAGGAAAACUUGUACACUGACGUUAAGAAAUUGAUGUCAUUUUUUUUUACAAGAUGUUAUAGGACUGUUUCACUUGUGUUUAGGUAAAGAAUCCUUAUCUUCAGUGAUCCACGCUGAAAUACUUAUGCAUGAAACGGUAUAAUGGAAGGACAGGAAAGUGGGCAGAGUCAUAAAUGAAGUAAGAAUGUCCAGGUGUUGAUAAUUAUUGAAGCUGGGUAACGGAUAAUUGGGGGUUUACCAUAUUAUUCAACUUUUGUUUAUGUUCAAAAUUUUCUCUGAUUAAAAAGCUAGAAAAUCAACAUUCACACAAACUCUUCUCCAUAGGUUGAAAAUAGGUGGAGUAUCUUGUUAGGAUUAUUAUAAUCUUUUAAUUUUAUAGCACUGCCAAUGAGCCAUCCCUGCCAUAAAAGAGUCAGCCAGAGAUAACUGGUGACUUCCACCACGUAAUUAUUAUCACCGUUUAUUUCAGUGGAAACUGCUGCCUGUUUGGAUUUGGAGAACACUAAGAAAGAGAAAUGAAGAUCUGGAGAAUUCAAAGGAUAAUUAUCCCUUUUGAAUAUUGACACACUUACAUGUUUUUCCAGACGUAGAUUUUGUGUAGGCGAAAGCUAUUUGAUUAUAAAAGAUCCGGUUUCU